ensembl:lncRNA
AGCUGAUCGGAGUCUUCCUCUGCUGCUCCGAGUCCCACUCAGGCUGUGCGCUCGGACAUCUUUCUGCGGAUACUUUUCCACCCGAGGCGCGCACUCCUCCGCGUGUCUGCGUGCACCGCACAUGGAUUUCAAGCUUUGUGGGUCUUAGAUGAGAGGAAAAGUUUGAGUGGAAGGACAGAAGGAGAGAGCAGAAGACUGAGGAGAAGGUCGGCUCUCGACCAUGGAGACUUCACCACAGAGAGCCACAGAUAAAAAAGACAAAAUGGACGGUAGCGGAUUCACCGACCUCCCAAAGAAACCCUCACCCUCAGAGACCAGAGUCUUAAACUGCAUUGGGGCUUUUAUUUGUCUUCCACGGUUGCUUACAGUGGUGUAGAAUUAAAAAGACCUCGUCCCCUGACCGUGCUGUUUUGGUGACCCAGAUUUAGCUGCUCUUUGUCUCACCCCCAUCCUCCCCUGUCCUCCUCCUGCCCCCCCUCGCUGACCCCCUCUUACAAUUCACCCUCCGACUGUUAUGAAUGGGGCAUUAACUCGAGCUGCUCUUUCAAUCAAUGGGGCCCUUUAGUGCUCUCUCGCAUGCACACCGAGCUGCUGUACUCGUGCAGUCAGUCAGAGGGUAAUUAUACCGGAGCGAGCC